rnacentral:rRNA from 1 species
GAUGAACGCUGGCGGCGUGCCUAAUACAUGCAAGUCGAACGCUGGAGCUCUAGCUUGCUAGAUCGAAGGAGUGGCGAACGGGUGAGUAAUACAUAAGCAACCUACCCACGAAGGCUGGGAUAAUCUCUGGAAACGGGGACUAAUACCGGAUAGGUAAUCGGAAGGCAUCUUCUGGUUAUUAAAGGUUAAAAACACUGGUGGAUGGGCUUAUGGCGCAUUAGUUAGUUGGUGAGGUAACGGCCCACCAAGACGAUGAUGCGUAGCCGGCCUGAGAGGGUGAACGGCCACAUUGGGACUGAGACACGGCCCAGACUCCUACGGGAGGCAGCAGUAGGGAAUUUUCGGCAAUGGGGGCAACCCUGACCGAGCAACGCCGCGUGAGUGAAGACGGCCUUCGGGUUGUAAAGCUCUGUUGUAAGGGAAGAACGGUAGAUAGAGAAUAUCUAAGUGACGGUACCUUACCAGAAAGCCACGGCUAACUACGUG